GCUGAAUACAACAGGUGUAGUAGACCUCACAGUGAAAUGCUGAAUACAACAGGUGUAGUAGACCUCACAGUGAAAUGCUGAAUACAACAGGUGUAGGUAGACCUUACAGUGAAAUGCUGAAUACAACAGGUGUAGUAGACCUUACAGUGAAAUGCUGAAUACAACAGGUGUCGGUAGACCUUACAGUGAAAUGCUGAAUACAACAGGUGUCGGUAGACCUUACAGUGAAAUGCUGAAUACAACAGGUGUAGUAGACCUCACAGUGAAAUGCUGAAUACAACAGGUGUAGUAUACCUCACAGUGAAAUGCUGAAUACAACAGGUGUAGUAGACCUCACAGUGAAAUGCUGAAUACAACAGGUGUAGGUAGACCUCACAGUGAAAUGCUGAAUACAACAGGUGUAGUAGACCUCACAGUGAAAUGCUGAAUACAACAGGUGUAGUAGACCUCACAGUGAAAUGCUGAAUACAACAGGUGUAGUAGACCUUACAGUGAAAUGCUGAAUACAACAGGUGUAGUAGACCUUACAGUGAAAUGCUGAAUACAACAGGUGUAGUAGACCUCACAGUGAAAUGCUGAAUACAACAGGUGUAGUAGACCUUACAGUGAAAUGCUGAAUACAACAGGUGUAGUAGACCUCACAGUGAAAUGCUGAAUACAACAGGUGUAGGUAGACCUUACAGUGAAAUGCUGAAUACAACAGGUGUAGUAGACCUGACAGUGAAAUGCUGAAUACAACAGGUGUAGUAGACCUUACAGUGAAAUGCUGAAUACAACAGGUGUAGUAGACCUCACAGUGAAAUACUGAAUACAACAGGUGUAGUAGACCUUACAGUGAAAUGCUGAACACAACAGGUGUAGUAGACCUUACAGUGAAA